rnacentral:rRNA from 1 species
GAUGAACGCUGGCGGCGUGCCUAAUACAUGCAAGUCGAGCGAACAGAUGAGGAGCUUGCUCCUCUGACGUUAGCGGCGGACGGGUGAGUAACACGUGGAUAACCUACCUAUAAGACUGGGAUAACUUCGGGAAACCGGAGCUAAUACCGGAUAAUAUAUUGAACCGCAUGGUUCAAUAGUGAAAGACGGUUUUGCUGUCACUUAUAGAUGGAUCCGCGCCGCAUUAGCUAGUUGGUAAGGUAACGGCUUACCAAGGCAACGAUGCGUAGCCGACCUGAGAGGGUGAUCGGCCACACUGGAACUGAGACACGGUCCAGACUCCUACGGGAGGCAGCAGUAGGGAAUCUUCCGCAAUGGGCGAAAGCUUGACGGAGCAACGCCGCGUGAGUGAUGAAGGUCUUCGGAUCGUAAAACUCUGUUAUUAGGGAAGAACAAAUGUGUAAGUAACUAUGCACGUCUUGACGGUACCUAAUCAGAAAGCCCCGGCUAACUACGUG